rnacentral:rRNA from 1 species
GAUGAACGCUGGCGGCGUGCCUAAUACAUGCAAGUCGAGCGAACAGACGAGGAGCUUGCUCCUCUGACGUUAGCGGCGGACGGGUGAGUAACACGUGGAUAACCUACCUAUAAGACUGGGAUAACUUCGGGAAACCGGAGCUAAUACCGGAUAAUAUAUUGAACCGCAUGGUUCAAUAGUGAAAGACGGUUUUGCUGUCACUUAUAGAUGGAUCCGCGCCGCAUUAGCUAGUUGGUAAGGUAACGGCUUACCAAGGCGACGAUGCGUAGCCGACCUGAGAGGGUGAUCGGCCACACUGGAACUGAGACACGGUCCAGACUCCUACGGGAGGCAGCAGUAGGGAAUCUGCCGCAAUGGGCGAAAGCCUGACGGAGCAACGCCGCGUGAGUGAUGAAGGUCUUCGGAUCGUAAAACUCUGUUAUUAGGGAAGAACAAAUGUGUAAGUAACUAUGCACGUCUUGACGGUACCUAGUCAGAAAGCCACGGCUAACUACGUG